rnacentral:rRNA from 1 species
GCUUAGAGAGGGGUCAAUGUCCUAUCAGCUAGUUGGUAGGGUAAUGGCCUACCAAGGCUAAGACGGGUAGCCGGCCUGAGAGGGUGGUCGGCCACACUGGGACUGAGACACUGCUCAGACUCCUACGGGAGGCUGCAGUCGAGAAUCUUUCGCAAUGCCCGAAAGGGUGACGAAGCGACGCCGCGUGUGGGAAGAAGGCCUUCGGGUUGUAAACCACUGUCGGGAGUUAAGAAAUGCAAGGGUGUUAAUAGCAUCCUUGCUUGACUAAGGCUCCGGAGGAAGCCACGGCUAACUCUGUGCCAGCAGCCGCGGUAAUACAGAGGCGGCAAGCGUUGUUCGGAAUUAUUGGGCGUAAAGAGCACGUAGGCGGCUUUGUAAGUCAGUUGUGAAAGCCUUCUGCUCAACGGAAGAACAGCAUCUGAUACUGCAAGGCUAGAGUGCGGAAGGG